GACGAACGCUGGCGGCGUGCUUAACACAUGCAAGUCGAACGGAAAGGCCCUGCUUUUGUGGGGUGCUCGAGUGGCGAACGGGUGAGUAACACGUGAGUAUCCUGCCCUUGACUUUGGGAUAACUUCAGGAAACUGGGGCUAAUACCGGAUAGGAGCUCCUGCUGCAUGGUGGGGGUUGGAAAGUUUCGGCGGUUGGGGAUGGACUCGCGGCUUAUCAGCUUGUUGGUGGGGUAGUGGCUUACCAAGGCUUUGACGGGUAGCCGGCCUGAGAGGGUGACCGGCCACAUUGGGACUGAGAUACGGCCCAGACUCCUACGGGAGGCAGGAGUGGGGAAUAUUGCACAAUGGGCGGAAGCCUGAUGCAGCAACGCCGCGUGCGGGAUGACGGCCUGCGGGUUGUAAACCGCUUUCGCCUGUGACGAAGCGUGAGUGACGGUAAUGGGUAAAGAAGCACCGGCUAACUACGU
rnacentral:rRNA from 1 species